rnacentral:rRNA from 1 species
CACACUGGAACUGAGACACGGUCCAGACUCCUACGGGAGGCAGCAGUAGGGAAUCUUCCGCAAUGGGCGAAAGCCUGACGGAGCAACGCCGCGUGAGUGAUGAAGGUCUUCGGAUCGUAAAGCUCUGUUGUUAGGGAAGAACAUAUGUGUAAGUAACUGUGCACAUCUUGACGGUACCUAACCAGAAAGCCACGGCUAACUACGUGCCAGCAGCCGCGGUAAUACGUAGGUGGCAAGCGUUAUCCAGAAUUAUUGGGCGUAAAGCGCGCGUAGGCGGUUUUUUAAGUCUGAUGUGAAAGCCCACGGCUCAACCGUGGAGGGUCAUUGGAAACUGGAAAACUUGAGUGCAGAAGAGGAAAGUGGAAUUCCAUGUGUAGCGGUGAAAUGCGCAGAGAUAUGGAGGAACACCAGUGGCGAAGGCGGCUUUCUGGUCUGUAACUGACGCUGAGGUGCGAAAGCGUGGGGAUCAAACAGGAUUAGAUACCCUGGUAGUCCACGCCGUAAACGAUGAGUGCUAAGUGUUAGGGGGUUUCCGCCCCUUAGUGCUGCAGCUAACGCAUUAAGCACUCCGCCUGG